rnacentral:rRNA from 1 species
AACGAACGCUGGCGGCGUGCCUAACACAUGCAAGUCGAGCGCGAAUGGAGCAAUCCUAGUAGAGCGGCGCACGGGUGCGUAACACGUGGGUAAUCUGCCCUGGAGCCCGGAAUAACCUGCCGAAAGGCAAGCUAACACCGGAUAAGCCUACGGUCCCCUCGGGGACUGAAGGAAAAGGUGGCCUCUGCAUGCAAGCUAUCACUUCAGGAUGAGCCCGCGGCCCAUCAGCUCGUUGGCGGGGUAACGGCCCACCAAGGCAACGACGGGUAGCUGGUCUGAGAGGACGAUCGACCACAGUGGAACUGAGACACGGUCCAGAAGACUAAGGGAGGCAGCAGGGGGGAAUUUUGCGCAAGGGGCGAAAGCCUGACGCAGCAACGCCGCGUGUGUGAUGAAGGUCUUCGGAUUGUAAAGCACUUUCGACCGGGACGAAAACCCGCUGGCCAAUAUCCAGCGGCUUGACGGUACCGGGAGAAGAAGCACCGGCUAACUCUGUGCCAGCCGCCGCCGUAAAAC